ACACUCCUGCGGGAGGCAGCAGUGGGGAAUAUUGCACAAUGGGCGCAAGCCUGAUGCAGCCAUGCCGCGUGUAUGAAGAAGGCCUUCGGGUUGUAAAGUACUUUCAGCGGGGAGGAAGGCGAUAAGGUUAAUAACCUUGUCGAUUGACGUUACCCGCAGAAGAAGCACCGGCUAACUCCGUGCCAGCAGCCGCGGUAAUACGGAGGGUGCAAGCGUUAAUCGGAAUUACUGGGCGUAAAGCGCACGCAGGCGGUCUGUCAAGUCGGAUGUGAAAUCCCCGGGCUCAACCUGGGAACUGCAUUCGAAACUGGCAGGCUAGAGUCUUGUAGAGGGGGGUAGAAUUCCAGGUGUAGCGGUGAAAUGCGUAGAGAUCUGGAGGAAUACCGGUGGCGAAGGCGGCCCCCUGGACAAAGACUGACGCUCAGGUGCGAAAGCGUGGGGAGCAAACAGGAUUAGAAACCCGUGUAGUCCC
rnacentral:rRNA from 1 species